rnacentral:rRNA from 1 species
AUUGAACGCUGGCGGCAGGCCUAACACAUGCAAGUCGAGCGAGCGGCGGACGGGGGUGUAAGGUCUGGGAAACUGUCCGAUGGGGGGGGGUAACACCUGGAGAAGGUAGCUAAAAUCGCACACCAUCUGAGGUGUCCAGAUGGGGUUAGCGGGUAGGUGGGGUAACGGGUCACCUAGGCGACGAUCCCUAGCUGUUCUGAGAGGAUGACCAGCCACACUGGAACUGAGACACGGCCCAGACUCCUACGGGAGGCAGCAGUGGGGAAUCGUGCGCAAUGGACGCAAGCCUGAUGCAGCCAUGCCGCGUGUGUGAAGAAGGUCUUCGGAUUGUAAAGCUCUUUCAGUAGGGAAGCGUUAUCCACCGAGAAAGCAACGGCUAACUCCGUGCCAGCAGCCGCGGUAAUUC